CAAGCUGCUGUGAGCCGCGCGGCGGGGCCGCGGAGCCGCCGGCAGAUUCGACACCGGCUCCGCCUCCCCGCGUUUCCCCCGCUCCUCCUCCCCGCCGCCCCGCCGCCCCUCCGCCGGAGCAACUAUGGAUUUCGUUAUCGGUGUUGAUUGCAUUAGCACCGCCACGUUUGCCCGCACCGGUCAGCAGAUCCAAAAAACAUGCACAACUUACGUAAAAUACAAGAAAGUCCAUGGAAGGUUUGGGGUUCAUUAUGCUUUUAAUCCCCUAGAAACCCACAAUUAUUCAUUAUGAUCUGAAAGAGCUGCUUUUUGCCAUGGCAAAAUAAAACAUACUCCAUUGCCCGCGAAAAUGGCAGCUUCGGGAACAGCAAGUUGCUUUUGCUUUACACUUCAAUGUUUACAGAGACUUAUUGCUCAAUUUCACUACAAACAGUACUUAAAAACAUUUUACUAGAUCUGGGGUUAUCUGAGAAGACUGUUUGACACUAGAAAUAUGGUCAGCUUUUACCUAAUCGUAGGAGUAAUUUGAGUUCAUUUAAUGCCUUUCCCGAGCUUAAUUUGCCCCCUUUGGAAUUACCGCCAUUUUUCUGAUCAAUUCAGAUGUGCCCUGUCCUUCGUGCAAGUCAAUACUCAUGAAAAUCAAGCUGAUCAGGAAAGAAAGAGAGGCAUUCAGAGCAACUGCCUGCCCGCAUAGCCAACCUCAAAAUGCACUGUGUGAAUUAAUGAGCCAUAAGGAGGAAGACGUAUUAACAGACAGCCACAUCAAGGAAUUCUUUUCUUUCUCCUCUUAGCUGGAUAUAUUGGAUUAAAAGCCACUAUGAUUGACUCGCAGAUGCAAAAGUUUUGCAUACUUAUGUCCCACUUGUAGGUCAAUAAGACUACAAUAAUCAGGACAGAAAGAUGUUUCAGUGAAAAGGUUCUAAUUUGUUCUGCUGGCAGCACAGAGCAGUUCACAUUGUAUGCUUUAUACAUCUCCUAUUAUUGACAGCAAUACUGUUUUUGUGUUGGACUCCUGAACCCAUUUCUUAGGGCUGUUGAGACAGGAAAACAACAACUACUACACGAGCAGUGUCAAACUUCUUUUAUUUCAAACUUCUGCAAUAGUGCAUUAGUUACUGAUUGAUAUGGAGAAAACCUCCCAGCAGUUUCUUCUCUCUAUAUAAACACGAUAAUACUGCAACUUUACAGUAAUCAGAACCCUGUCUCUAAAAUACUUGUGCAUAACUGCAAACUGUUUUUAAAUAAAAGCUCCAUUCCGAUAUUGCUGACUUAUUUCUGAACUGUAGUCUCCCCUCAUGAUUUCAAAUUCUAUUACAGCAAAAAUUCCUACCUCUGUGGACCCAUAGAUUGCUUUCAUCAACAUAUUAAAUAUAAAGCUAAACUUGUUGUGUUUUUGUGUCCCAUGACUGCAAAUUAGAGUUAUAGAAAUGAGAAAUAACACGUGGAAGGGAAUGAAAUAGGUACAGUUGGUCCAGAGUUGCACAAAGAGUACAAAGUCAAAAAAGGCACUGCAGAAAGGAAAAAUCAAGCGUCGUUUUCAAAACAGGUUGUUCCUAACAGAGACACCAGUGACGCACAGCUCAUCAGAAUAAAGCCUAUGCUUUUCUGCAUCAUACUGAAAGAUCAAGUUUUUAUUGGUCUGUAUGAACCAGACUUAACUUUGUUUACAAUCUCUCUCCAAAAAUUAGCUUCUCUCAAGUUGACUUUUCCUUUUCGGUUGUUUUAAAAAUGUGUUAUUUAAACCAGCACAAGCUGGGCAGAAUCAAUUUCACAGGUAACCAUUCUUCACAAAUUAGCACAGCAAAAAAAAUCAUGUUUAGAUGGGGCUUUUGAAUCCAUUUGUUUUACAGGACUAAAUCGAGGGGUGGUUUGUCAGGUUUUUUUAAGCACCUUAUGUGCCACAGAGCAAACUGAAAAAAAAAACACACAUCUGCACAGUAAAAUCGUUUUCCUGUCUGGUUGGGUUUUUGUAGCGAUCUCAAGUAACGACUGUUUCUGUUGUGCAGGCUUGGUUUUCUACACUUACUUGUCUGCUGUGUCUAUUAAGAUGUUAACAAGCAGUGUGGGAAAAAAACAAACAAACCGCCAAGGCAUACACUGGUACCGGAAACCUCUGGGCCCAGCAGAAAUUAUGCAUAAUAAAAGAAAAUCAUAAAAGCUCUUCCUUUGGCUUUUUGCUUGUUUCUGAGAGGCACUUAUGAAAAAUCAAGAGGUCCGGAUACUAAAGAGACACUGGUAUGUAACAAACCGAUAUACAAAAGGUAUAAAUAAGCCAUUUUAACCCAUGUUACAAAAUUCCUGUUCAUUUCCCAGCUUUUACUGACUUGAGUAGUUAGUUGGUCCUGGGCAGAGACUUCCACCGCCUCGAUUUCUUCAUCUGCUAAGGCAGCUCUAACACUUGACCUCUUUGCUCAAACGCUUUGAGGUGCACAUACAGAAAUCAACAAAUAACACAUGAAUAUUAACAGCUUCAUGACGUAUCUUUUUAAAAAUUAGACCCUUUUCCCCAUAUUUCAUAGAGGACUAAAAAUACUGACAGGAUGAUUAAAAAAAAUAAGAUCAUUUUUUUUUCUUUUGCCUACCAUGUUUAGGCAGUAGAAUUCAACGAGACAGUUCAGUUUUGUUGCUAACCAGUUCUACACAUUUCAUGUAUUUCUACAGUGAAUCCAGUGGCACAGGAAAAGGUAUGUUUAAGUGCCUAUAAAGCUGAAUUUGUCAAUUUUUGCACAACAGAAUCCUACCCCAGCUACUUUAGCUUUUAAUAAAAUAGUCGUAACACAACAUUAGGCCUAAAUUUCAUAGCCCUUACCGUUUACCUGUCCUUCUCAACUCCAAAUAACAAAAACUCAGCAUUCUUUUGUGCUCAGUGAAGGUAAUCAGUUCCUGUUCUCACUGCCUUCUGCCUCCGUAGAUUAUAUAGGGUAAGAAAAGACAGACAGGAAUACCUUGCCAAAGAAAAUCAGUCCCAAAUUAGCAUGAAUCAGGACUAACCGAUUUAUUGUCCUGUUUUCAAAUUAUGCCCUGAAGGGAAAUAUUUUCAUCCAAUAUUUUCCAAUAUCUUCCAAUAUUUUCAUCUCUCAGCACUCUGGUUAUUUAGACUGCUAGGGAAGGGAAAACAUAAUUGAAGAGUACUUGUUUAAAUCCUAACCCAAAACCCAGGCAAGACAAUUCUAUGGCAUAGCACGCUUAUAUAAAGUGCAUACAACGCUACGUAACGACAGCCUUGCAGACUGAGGUUCCUAAUAACUCGUCUAAGAUAACUAUCUAGUGUGCUUUUACCCGUUUUUUUUUUGUUGUUGGCAAGAACCGUUCUCAACAACAGUGAAUACCUGGGGGACGUGCUAGGAAAAGCUGGCAUCAAAAGGCAAGUAGGGAGCGGUUCUCUUCAUUUCCUUUUGCCCUGCAAAGUCUUCUCCUUUGCUUCCCCCUUGGACCACUAAAACCAGCAGGUGGGCUUUCAGAGAGCUGUGUUUCCAGCACCAUCCCUGCUACCAAACUCACUCAUCGCUACAGAAUAAUUGUGGGAAGGCAAUUCAUCAGCAAUUGCAAAGCUAUUUGAGAUUGUAGGAUACAGGGUGUUCUAAAAGUGAAAAGAACUGUUGUUCUGUCAUACAAAGGAGUUUACAACCUAUUCCUCAUUCAGCUCUCAGUGCCCUAAUAAAGUGGCAGCAGAACAGAAUACGUAGGAUUGUGCUAGACAGAGGGUGAGUGAGAAUGAACGAACAGAAGGCAACUGGGCAAUUCUUGGCACAAAGUCGAGGUCUGUGCUUUAAGCCCCCCCAGUCGGUGUACACGUGAGUAAGGGCUGUGCUGCAUAAAUUCUCAAUUCACACACCGGUUAUUUUUACACGUCUGGUAAAGUGGGACACCGUCAUAACCCACAUCUGGCUUCACGUCUUAAGGACAGUUGGUGACAAGGCUGAGGUGCGUUGGUCUCUCCGCGACGUGCCGGCACAGGUACAUAGUUCCACAGCACGAAGUAAGGAGUUUGCUGCAAUCCCGCACUGGGAAUCCACGGGCACAGAGAGACCGCUUGAACAUCGUGUGCAUGAAAUAAAGGGCACUGUAACGCUUUGGAGUGGUGCCACUGUGUAUAGUGGGUGCGGGUUGUGGGGAAUAAAAGGUGCAGCGAUAUUAAAAAUAGACUUUCCACAUCCUUCAUUCUGCCCGGGACAGGUCGUCACACGUGAGAAGAUGAAGAUAAGUGCUAAAAUUUAAAAAAUAUUAAUCCAAGCCAUGUGCUUGAACACAGGCUGUGCUACAUGACUAGCAGCAGAGCUUCCAGAUGCUGCUACACGAGAAGAAAGAGGAAUCCUGUUCUCAGCCUUCUUCCACUUCUCACUCCCAGUCAUUGCAGCAAUGCUUUACCGAGCAUGAACAUGCACUAAAGAGAAGACAGUUCACUAUCACGUAAAAAAACAACAACAAAAAAAAGUGAGA